AGACCGUCCUGUAGCCAAAGCAGUGCGCUUGCUUGGCUCUGGCUUCCUUUCCUUUUCUUUCCAGUUUCAUCACCUCACUUUCUCACGGAGAGGGCACCUGACUGGCGCUUCCAGACCUUGGCUGGCCCGCUCAGGGGACUCUGGAGCCUUUAAUGUGCAAACUUGCUUGGCUUCGUAAAUCAAUGUGAUGAGAGAGCCGUUUCCCAAAUCUUUACCAAGGACCAUUUCUGCUGGAGCGCCUCCUUGAACCUCUCCCCGGAACUGCUCCAUCUUCGGUGCCGCUGCGCAGAGGCACAGCUUCCUUCCUGCAGGUCGUGCCUCCCACACACGCCCCUCUCGUGUUCAGCGGUGGUCGUGAGAGUUUGUCGAAUGAGUGCUUUGGGCCAGGUACUGUCUCUCCCACAUUUCCACGUUGAACUCACAUCUUCCAGAUGAGAACGAGGCCAAGAGUAAGCAGUUUGAGGCUUCAGCCAGGUAGUGGUGGAGCCCUGCCCCCUGUUAGGCCCGGGUCGCCCCAGAACAGCGCCGAGCCCCUCGCACACCUGUCCUGUCUACCCCAUGGACGUGAGUGGCGUUGGAGAUGGACCCUGCGGUCAGCGUUCUGCCUGUUGUGUGGUCGCUCGCCCCGUUCUGCUGGCUCCAACCGUGUACGCAAUUGCCUAAACCACAGCCCGGGGCGGGGGCUGGGAGGUGGGGCAGAGCCCGAGUCUGUCGAGCCCGUGUUGGCACACACGGUACACAGACGGAAGCUUGCUAGCCGCUUUCUGAUGAAGGUGAUCAGCCCGUAGAGGAAGCAGCUGGCUCCGCGCCCUUUGGCUCUCUGAUCUCUCCCUCUGCCCUCUUCCGGGGUCUGGCUUCGAGGCUCUCCAGAGUCCCACAAGAGGUCAGCCGCAGACCCACCGAGGCGGCAGUCGCUCCAUUGUUCAGCCUCUCUCUGCUUAUAAAUAGAAGCCCGGCCAUUCCACAGCCCUGGCCGGAGAUUCUCCGCAUUGUUUGUGGCCCUAGAUUGGCAGCUGCAGGGAGAGCCUGUGCGGGUGGGAGGCGGGGGUGGGAGGGCAGCAGGCAGGAGCCAGGGGCCCGCACCAGCACGUCCUCGCGGGGAGUCAGGCUGGUCCCUCCUCUCAGCGACCCUCCAGCUCUGCUCCCACCCGGCUGGCCUUGGCCGUGAGGAUGCAGAAAAGGCACUGCUUUCCAGCCCUCCUUGGUUUUCACAGCCCGCCCAGGCCUGGCCUCCGGCUGGGAAGGCCAGGAGGGGAUCCCUGCUGGGGCCUGCAGGUCAGGUCACCGGUCUAGUCCCCCUGGCCGCAGCUGUCCCCCCUCCCCGCCGCCGUGCCUCCUCCUUCUUCUCAAGGCCCCUCUGCGCUUUCUCUGUCCCCCAGCUGGCCCGCCGUCCUCCUCCCCACUCACCCUGAGGUCUCACAUCGCUUCCUUUCCCCCCAGCACCUCCCAGGCCGCCUGCCCUGCUCAGAUUCAGCUGCUCCCCCGCCUUCCUCGUCAUAGCACGCAGACGUUUUUGAGGCUCACAUCGAAGUUAGGGUCGUUUGUGUAAUUGGCCGACUUGUUUGUUUAGUCAUGUCCCCGUUCCCGGUCCCCCGCCGCAAACUGUCAGCUCAACAGGGUGAGGGGGGGCCUGGGGCGGGGGCCGUGUCAGCCUUGUCUGUCCUCAGUCCUGACAGCGCCAAGACAGCGGGAACUGGGAUAAAAGCUACCCAGAGCAACUUCCCAGGAAGAAGCUAGAACUUGCUCCAAAGCCAGACCCCAGCAGGAGAGGACCAGGGGGUGCGGGCCAGGCUGCUGUUCAGGAGCACGGAGCCAGCCGAUCACACGGGCCCCACAGCAAGGCCGCUGUCAGAGCCAGCCUGAGGCCUGACCCCGACCGGCAUCCCCGGAGCACCCUGCCCAGUAGCCCUCUGUUCUCAGCAUCCCAGGAGGGUGCUAGCCUGGGGCCGGAGCAGCUGUCUGGGGACACAGCUGGUGAUGGGAGCACAGGCUGGACACAGAGAGGCCUGGGUACAAGGCUCUCCUCUGAUUUCCCAUCUGGAACUAGUCGUGUCCUCUGGCCCAGGCGGAAGUGGGGCAGAGGCCACACACCUCACACAGCAGGUAUGCACAAGGCCGUGCCUGGCACAGUCAGCGGGCAUCUCACAGGCGGCUUCUCUGGCUUUGAGGGGAAGACCCAGGAGCUGCGGCAGCCUGAACUGAGCAGAUGAGCCCCAGUGCCCCUGCCCCUGCCCUGGACAUGUGCCUGCAGCGCUUUCAUCUAAUGGCUCCCUAGGGAGGGUCAGGGCUCAGGCUGAAAGCUGCCUUGCCUACCCGCCUCAGCUCCGCCCUGGCCUGGGAGGCUCCACCCCCCUCUAGUCUAUGGGUUUCUGCCUCCCACCCCUGCCGUGAGAACCGUCAGAUACAUGAACUGUCAGAUACAUGGCUCACGCCCCACCAGAGGGCCUCUGUGGCCCCACUCCUUGCUAAUCUUCCCAUCCCAGGGCCCUCUGGCUGUCCAGGGGGCUGCAGGAGCAGGAAGGGCUAGCAUGCCGAAUUCUGAAUCCCUGGCCGCAGCUGACAGAAGGAGCUGUAUGAGCUGAUAAAACAGUUGGGUUGUCAACAGCCAACGUUUUCAGAAGCAUCUAGAAUUCUCAAGUCUUGAGAUGUUAGCUUUUAAAUCGCUUUCAUUUUCUCCGUUUUAGAGGGCAAAGAUUUACCCCAGUAUAGGGAAAUGAAAGUGUUAUAAUUACAAGUUUCUACAUGCAGGUGACUUGACAGUGCAGCCUGAAUCCCUCCCAGCAGCCCUCCUGCCCGGGGCCCAAGAGAGCCGUGUUCCUCUGUUUAAUCAAGUCGCAGCAGUUGCUCUGAGCCGAGUCCAGGCCUGGAUCCUCUUCCCCACGUGGGGGCUUCAGGCUUCUGAUCAGGCUGACUCCUGACUUGUCUGUAGCUGCAUCUCUUUUCACUGUGAGACACUCCGGAAACAGGAAUAAGCACCGUCUCUGAGACAUUCCAGCCAAGUGGUGCCCAGACUAGACCCUGCUGUGUGGUUGUGUCACAGGCGGUGGGACCGGCGUUCAACAUCCCAAAGCAUUGGUUGACGUGUCAGAUUUCCCGUGUGCAGCUCCCCUGCCACUCCACCGCCAGCACGGCACAUGCGUCCUGCUUUCUCCCAGUGGGCAGUGGGUCUGGCUAUUCCAGCCACGAAUUUAUCACCCAGGCCCCGUGUGUUACUGGCUGUAGGAUGUGUGUUUGGGGGCUGGGCGGGGGGAUGCCUGGCACACGGCAAGGCUGGCCCAGGUGGAAAUCAAAGAAGCCCAGCAUCAGUGGAGUUCCCGUCGUGACUCAGUGGUUAACGAAUCCGACUAAGAACCGUGAGGUUUCGGGUUCGAUCCCUGGCCUUGCUCAGUGGGUUAAGGAUCCGGCGUUGCCGUGAGCUGUGAUGUAGGUUGCAGACGCAGCUUGGAUCCGGCGUUGCUGUGGCUCUGGCGUAGGCUGGCAGCUACAGCUCCGAUUCGACCCCUAGCCUGGGAACCUCCAUAGGCCGCAGGAAGCGGCCCUAGAAAUGGCAAAAAAAAGACAAAAAAAAAAAAAAAA
rnacentral:lncRNA from 1 species